GUCGUAACCGGGCUGAAGUCGUACCGUAAGGAGCGGUGGACUGGUUACGAGUGAGAAUGUUGGCAUCAGUAGCGAGAUGUGGGUGAGAAUCCCACAGGCCGAAAACCUAAGGUUUCCUCAGGAAGGUUCGUCCGCUGAGGGUUAGUCGGGACCUAAGCCGAGGCCGAAAGGCGUAGGUGAUGGACAACUGGUUGAUAUUCCAGUACCACUACCAUCGUUAUUAUCGAUGGCGUGACGCAGGAGGAUAGUGUGUGCUAGCUAUUGGAUGCUAGUCUAAGCGUUUAGGCAGUGAGAGUAGGCAAAUCCGCUCUCAUAAUGCU
rnacentral:rRNA from 1 species